GAGUGAGUGUGUGUGUGUGUGUGUGUGUGUGUGUGUAUGCGCGUGCGUGCUCAUGUUCAUGCACACA
rnacentral:miRNA from 10 species